GCGUGCUGAGAUGAAGAGAUCAAAUCGCGUUUGAUAUGUUCUGUGGAAUCUGAGAUGGCUGGAUCAAACGUGCUUAAGCACGGGUCAUUUGACAGAGGAAUACGCAGCAUCAAAGGUAGCGGGAAAGGAGAGGCUACAUUGGAGAGGAGCAUCACGGGUUCUUUUAUUUGUGUCAGUUUGUAUUGUAUCAGUUUGUGUCAGUUUGGCUUGUCUCGGCUUGAUUCAGUUUGUCACGGGUUUCAGUGUGCAUGUGCAUCACGCAGUUUGUAUAUUUGAUCACACAAUACCAACUACUUGAACAAAUAAACACACGUUUAACACAUUACCAAUACCAAUACCAACUACAUUUGAUCAUUUGUAUUAUAUAAUUCACUGCUAUUGCUCUCUACUUCUAACAUCACGCAAACUCAUCUACUCUCUUUUUCUAACAAAACCAAAUUCAUCUUCUCUCUAUUCUCUCUACUUUUAUCAAGCAUACUCAUCUUCUUCUUUUUUCCUCUCUUUGAUCACAAGUUUAUAAAACUCUUUAAUCAUUUCUAUGGCUUCUUCUUCUCAAAACACAUUUGAUGAAUCAUCUGAUGAUACAUUUGAUGACAUAUUUGAUCAAAAAUUUGAUGAAAAAUUUGAUCAAUUCUUUGAUCAAGCGUUUGAGAAUUUAAAUAUUAGUGGUGGUCAAAAAAAAGAAAAGAAAACCCCGAGCUUAUAUCGAAAGAAAUCGUGAAGAAGGGCAUAUUCAUUUAUGGAAUGAUUAUUUCUGUGAUACUCCAACGUAUCCUGAUAAUUUAUUCCGACGACGUUUUCGAAUGAACAAGCCAUUGUUCAUGCACAUUGUUGAUCGACUCUCCAACGAAGUUCUAUAUUUUCGGGAAAAGAAAGAUGGUCUCGGAAGGAUUAGUCUCUCUCCUCUUCAAAAGUGCACCGCAGCCAUUCGUGUCUUGGCGUAUGGUUCUGCAGCUGAUGCGGUCGACGAAUACCUCCGGCUCGGUGAAACAACAACUCGGUUAUGUGUGGAAAAUUUGGUAGAAGGAAUAAUAUAUUUGUUCGGCGAUGAGUACUUAAGAAGACCAACACCGGCUGAUCUUCAA